rnacentral:lncRNA from 1 species
UCCUAGGUUUGCACCUAUAGCAAACCAUCCAAUAAAUCUCUAGAUUCUUGGGAUUGAUCUAUUUAGGAGCUAGCUUAGGGUUCAUUUGACCCAUUCCAAAGCAUAAAACCCAAAAACCCUAAGUUUACAAAGCUAGGGCUUAGUAGCUUACCUCAAGAGCUAUGCCAAUGGGAAGAGGAGAGGGAGAUGGAGGUGCUCAAAGCCUUCCUCUUGAUCUCCUUCUUCUUCUCCUUCCUUAUCUUCCUCUUCUUUUCCUUCCUCUCCUUCUUGUUCUUCUUCUCCUUCUUUCCUUUCUAGAGAGAGAGAGAGCAAGAGAGAAAUGAGAGUGAGAGAGAGUGAAAUGAGAGAGUGUGAGGGAGAGAGAGGGCUCAGCCCACUCAAAUAAAGGCCAUUUUGCAUAAAAGCCCCUCAACUUUCACUCCUGUGCACUGCCUUCACUGGGCAGUUUUCGCGCGGAGGGACCGGUCUCCCCGACCUGGGACCGGUCCCCGAGAGCUUCCCUCGGGCGCACGCGUUCGGGAACCGGUCUCUCCCCGAGAGACCGGUCCUCGGGAGACCGGUCUUCGCCUGAGAGACCGGUCCCCGAGAGCUCGAUUUUCAGAACUUAGCCAAUUUUUGGCAUCUCUCGCUGGGACCACGUUUGGGAACCGGUCCCUCCCUGCCAGGGACCGGUUGCAUCACGCAACCCCGCUACGCCCAGCCAGGGGAACCGGUCUCUCACCUGCAGAGACCGGUCCCCGAGAGCAACAUCAGCCCAAUGAUGCAGUUUGCCUCAUUUGCUCUCGCGGACACAACUCCAAGGCACUUUUUGUGCUUUGGGCAUUCUCAACUCCCACAAAGGGUAUACUUUCGACAAUUAGUCGAUCCUGGAUGAAGUACAAUCCUCGUAUUUCGAUAAUUC